CCUGGAUACACGGUGAGUCCAUCAGGUGGCCUGAGAUUUCCUUGAGUUAUUGGAUAUGCCUUUUUCCAUGAUUCACAUACUGAUGAGUUUGUGGUUGAUUGUACAUAGAGGCUUAGAAAACACAUCUCAACAUCGGGGGGUAGAUUAAAAGGCACUGUACCCAGAUGGGGUCUGGCCCCGCCACAGACAUAACAGUUAGUUUUAGUGUGAAUUAGCA